rnacentral:sRNA from 1 species
GCGGGGGAGGAGUCUGCAAUGUUUCAGAGCUAUGCUGGAAACAGCAUAGCAAGUUGAAAUAAGGCUAGUCCGUUAUCAACUUGAAAAAGUGGCACCGAGUCGGUGCUUUUUUU